rnacentral:tRNA from 1 species
AUGUAGCUCAGUGGUACAGCACCUGCCUAGCAAGCAUGAGGCCCUGAGUUUGAUUCCCAGUAU